GAAGUAAGUAUGAUUUCAUUCUGCUCACUUGGAUGAGGGCUUGAAUCUUACUGUGUAGCAUACAGAAACGGUGAGGUGGCUGACAUCUUAGAAGGCUGUUGUGAAACAUAUCUUGACAUAAAAAUAUUGCCCAGAUAAGUUUGCUAUAUCUUUCCAGUGUAAACUGUUAAUAAAUAAUUUGGUAUUUGAUAGACUCUUAUUUUUUAAAUCAUGAUUACCUCUUCCAGUGAUCCACCUUCAUAUUCUUUCAUUUAAUAUAGCAUUUCAAGAUCAGUCCUCUUUCUGCACUGAAAGAAAAACAGUGCAGACCUGAAACAACUGCAGCUCACCAUGCAUGUGCACACUUCUUUCUUGGAUGGAGUUUGGAGUAUUACAUGGUGAAGUUAUUGCCCACAUUGGAGCUGCAGUGGUAGAUCGUGGGGAGAAGAGGACAUGGAUAACUGCAUAAAUCACUGAAACCUCAGGAGGACUG
rnacentral:lncRNA from 1 species